ensembl:snRNA U1 U1 spliceosomal RNA
AUAUUUACCUGGCAGGGGAGAUACUGUGAUCACAAAGGUGGUUUUCCCAGGGCGAGGCUUAUCCAAUGCACUCUGGAUUGGCUGACCCCUGUGAUUUCCCCAAAUGUGGGGGACUCCACUGCACAAUUUGUGGUAGUGGAGGACUGCGUUUGUGCUCUCCCCUG